GACGAACCGUGCGAACGUUGUUCGGAAUCACUGGGCUUAAAGGGCGCGUAGGCGGGGUCGCCAGUCUGUGGUGAAAUCCCCCGGCUCAACCGGGGAACGGCCGCGGAUACUGCGACUCUCGAGGGGUGUAGGGGCAUGCGGAACUUCGGGUGGAGCGGUGAAAUGCGUAGAUAUCCGAAGGAACGCCGGUGGCGAAAGCGGCGUGCUGGACACCUUCUGACGCUGAGGCGCGAAAGCCAGGGGAGCAAACGGG
rnacentral:rRNA from 1 species